rnacentral:misc_RNA from 1 species
GAAACUUUUGGUGAUGUGGGUUCUUCUUCCUUUGUUUCGCUAUUUGAUUUUCUAAUUCUCGCUUCAGCUGGAAUUAUAGAUAUAAUUGGACCAGAAAAUCCUUUGUGAUUAUGAUGUAAUCUUUUAUCUCUACCUGGACUAAAAGGGUGGUUUUGGAAUAUAACGGUUGCUGCUGCUGCUUUUGGUAAAAAUUUCAAAAUCAUGUUUUUCUUUGGCUUGCUUGGUUUUUCCUUCUCCAUUUUUGAACUCUUUUGUUGGUGUUGAUAUGAAGAACAAAAA